rnacentral:rRNA from 1 species
ACAGAGGGUGCGAGCGUUGUCCGGAAUCACUGGGCGUAAAGGGCGCGUAGGCGGCUUGAUAAGGUUGCGGUGAAAGCCCGGGGCUCAACCCCGGGUCGGCCGUGGCAACUGUCGAGCUGGAGCACUGUAGAGGCAGGUGGAAUUCCGGGUGUAGCGGUGGAAUGCGUAGAGAUCCGGAAGAACACCGGUGGCGAAGGCGGCCUGCUGGGCAGUGGCUGACGCUGAGGCGCGACAGCGUGGGGAGCAAACAGGA